rnacentral:lncRNA from 1 species
AUCUUUCUUAUCUUCAUCGGCAUCCAUCAAUAGAUGCCUAAUCACCUAACAUCCAUCAGUAGAUGUUUAAUCACAUAAAAUACAUCAGUAGAUGUUAUUAUUCCUCCUUCUUAUCAUAACAACAUCCAUCAGUAGAUGUUGUCAUCACCUCCAUCAGAAGCAACAUUUAACCUAAAAAAAACUCAAACAAACAAAGAAAAAAUCAAAUCAAAACCACAUAAUUAAAACAACUAAAAAGAAAAAAAAUCAGAAAAUUGGGUUCCCUCCCAGAAAACGCUUGUUUAACAUCACUAGCUUG